rnacentral:rRNA from 1 species
UGACAGGUGGUGCAUGGUUGUCGUCAGCUCGUGUCGUGAGAUGUUGGGUUAAGUCCCGCAACGAGCGCAACCCUUAUCUUCAGUAGCCAGCAAUUCGGUUGGGCACUCUGGAGAGACUGCCAGGGAUAACCUGGAGGAAGGUGGGGAUGACGUCAAAUCAUCAUGCCCCUUAUGAUUUGGGCUACACACGUGCUACAAUGGCGUAAACAAAGGGAAGCAGCCCUGCGAAGGUGAGCAAAUCCCAAAAAUAACGUCUCAGUUCGGAUUGUAGUCUGCAACUCGACUACGUGAAGCUGGAAUCGCUAGUAAUCGCGAAUCAGAAUGUCGCGGUGAAUACGUUCCCGGGUCUUGUACACACCGCCCGUCACACCAUGGGAGUCGGAAAUGCCCGAAGUCAGUGACCCAACCGCAAGGAGGGAGCUGCCGAAGGUGGAGCCGGUAACUGGGGUGAAGUCGUAACAAGGUAGCCGUAUCGGAAGGUGCGGCUGGAUCACCUC